UGGCAAAUUACUGUCAAAAAUACAUUGAAUUGCCACGUCUAGUGACCCUUGUUAAACAUCCUACGCGUGACUCACCCAUACCUCCUAUUCAUCUACUCAUCUCCUCUCUUCGAUCAAACUUCUGUCAAAUCGUAAACCCUAGAUUCUUUUCAGAUUCUCCUCUCUUCGUCUCCUCACACUUCGAUCAAAUGGUUAAUCAAAUCUAAACUUAGAUUCAUCGAUUCAUCCGUCAAUCUAAACCCUAGGUUAAACGAUUCAACCGUCAAAAGAUUCAACACCAGAACUCAAUCAAUUCAGAGAUGUUAAUGCUAUUUCGGAGCAAAACUCCGACGACUUUUCCAGAACAGAUAAUAAGCCUGUAAUUCGUGAUCUUAGGGACACCGGUUUGAUUAGUAAUGGCAUGGUAUAGCUGAAUGGAUGGCAAUGGAGAUUAUUCGCCGACUAGGUUUCAGGCUUAAGCUUUUUUUGUGAAAAGGGGCUGCCACUAGUCAGAAAUCAGGCACCUGACUUCGAAGCUGAGGCCAUUUUUGAUCAAGAGUUCAUCAAGGUAACUGAAGUGACUACCGAUGUGUGCUUUUGAAGUGGUGAGUGAUCUGUUGAAUUUACAUGUUUGGGCGAGUGGAGGUUUGUGAUAUUAUUCAUGAGCAUCCAGCUAUUUCUCGGUUUCAUGUUGUUUUCUAGUUCAACAAAUCUGGUGGUGCUUUCAGUCGUUAACUUGAUUUGUAUUCGAUAAGUAAUGUUACGGCCUCGAAGAGGUCCUACGGUUCUGCAGAAUCAUUGACUGUGGUUGAACUGUAAGUAUCCGCCGUGUUGAUCUAGUACUCUUCAGAAGUUGUGAUUCAUCAUUUGGACUUCCCAAUAGGCACAGAGGUAUGUGGCAUCAUCAAUGUCAAUUGUGUUAUUUUUGUUACAUUGUGUAGGCUACUCAUUAGGUUUGAAGUUUUAUGAUAGUGGGACCAGAUUGACUUGCUGUCUAAACACAACUGGAAGUUUUUUUAAAUUUGGAAGUGAAAUAUGAGGGAUAUCUUUUGGAGAAGUAUGGGGAGGAAAGUAGCCAACACCGAGAACUUGACAAAGAAUUGUGGUACCGAGCUUCCGGGGGAAAGAAGAGAGGCAAAGUAUAUGGGUUAAGCAAUCUUAAGAAUGAUUUUAACGUUCAGCAUCAUGGCAAACAAGACCAAGAGAUUGAAAGAUUCAACGUGAUUAUCCAAGAUAUAGUGAAAGAAAAAGAAAGGUUGAACGAUAUUAUUGCGGGAUUGAUGGUGGAAAAAGAGAAAGAUAAGGCAGAGAAAGAGGCUAUAAAUGAGAGGAUGGCAAACAUUGAAGCGAUGCUAAAAGCUAGGUUUCAAAACGUAUAAACACUUUGUUUUGAAUAUGUAUUUUGUUAUGAUAACUUUAGUAUUUGAUGUUUCAA